CCUACGGGAGGCUGCAGUGGGGGAUAUUGCACAAUGGGGGAAACCCUGAUGCAGCGACGCCGCGUGUGGGAAGACGGUCCUCUGGAUUGUAAACCACUGUCCCCAGGGACGAAGAUGACGGUACCUGGGGAGGCAGCUCCGGCUAACUACGUGCCAGCAGCCGCGGGAAUACGUAGGGCGCGAGCGUUGUCCGGAAUUACUGGGUGUAAAGGGCGCGUAGGCGGGACUGCAAGUUAGGUGUCAAAUCUACCGGCUCAACCCGUAGCCGCACUCAAAACUGCAGUUCGUGAGUGAAGUAGAGGCAGGCGGAAUGCCUAGUGUAGCGGUGAAAUGCGUAGAUAUUAGGAGGAACACCAGUUGCGAAGGCGGCCUGCUGGGCUUUUACUGACGCUGAGGCUCGAAAGUGUGGGGAGCAAACAGGAUUAGAUACCCGUGUAGUC
rnacentral:rRNA from 1 species